rnacentral:lncRNA from 1 species
AAAAUAUAUGAAUACAUAGAAUACAGCGAGAUACAUUGAAAUACCAUGGAAAAAAAGACAGUGAAUACAAUGAAAUACACGAAAUAUAGCAAGAUACAUUAAAUUACAAUAAAAAAAAGACACUGAAUACAAUAAAAUACAGCGUGAUACGCUAAAAAUACAUAAAAAUGUAUUAACAGAAAAUCAAGUUGCUUAGCCCCAAACUCCAUCGUCUUUGCUAAAAAACAAACCCUAAUUUCCGUCUUGUGGCCAAAUAGUCCUUCCAUCUUCAAAGAUCUUGCACGCUCAAACCUGGAGGAAGUGAUGAUGUCUUUAAGGUUUCAGUUGGGCUUUACUUGGUUGGAACUGUGCUUUGGAAUGCCUUUUCGACCGGUGAGAAAAUUAUUGAUUGAAACUUCUAAGUGAUUUCCAUGGAGGCAGCAACUUAAGCCCUUCGAGUUAUGCUGGACGAUAGCUGCAAUCACGAAGGCGUGACUAUUCGAGUUGAAAAGAGUUUUAGACCGAUUUAGUUGAGAAUAGGUGGGAAUAUUUUUGGCAGUGCCAGAAGACGAGAAUGGGGAAGGAGGAGUAGAGCGGAAAUUUUAAUGUGAUGGGGAAGAGAAUGGGAUGUAUCAAAGUAGAGAGAAAAAAAAAAUAGUGUAACUCAAUAGCAUAAUUAGUGGCUUAGGGGUAGAAGGUAACCAAAAUUAGAUAUUUUGUUAUAAACAUUAAACGGUAUUUAUAGAAAAUAAUUUUUUUAAAUGGUAUUUAUUUAAAAUAAAUAUGGUGUUAAUAUUUGUCAUAGAAGGUAAAAAUUCCUUAAUAAAAACCCAAUUUUAAAGCGAGGGGCUCAUGUCCGUUGGAAGCGCAAAAGGUAAAAUUCCUCACUGACUGAUGACCUUUGCAUUUGAUAACUAUGUGCCUUUUAAGUCUAAAACUACCUUGCUAUUAUUUGAUUUGAGUCCAAAGUCUUACAUAGGACUAUACUAAACCACGUCAUCGCACAUGGAAGCAAUUCCUUAUGAAAUGCCAAUGAACCCUGCAAACAUCUAGCGCAAGCAAAAAGAAGAAACAUAGAUAACAAACUACGUGAUAAUCCAGUAAGUUUUUCACUUUCACAAUAUAUAGAUAUUUAGCAUCUCAAUAUCAAUAGACCUAGAAGAAAUUGUUUCAGACAUAAAUUUUCCUUUUCUAAUUUCAUAUGAACCCUCACUGCAUGAAAUCGUAGUAAUAUGUAUUUUGAACUCAUUAAAGAAAGUAGAUCGUUCAGAACUUAAAAUGGUAGUAGAAGUAGAAAGUUUGGAUAUUCACAUUUGAAAGUUUCCUUUUUGAACCUUUUAAAUGAUUGCUUUAGCAUUAUUUUUAUUUUUAAAUUAACACGAUACACAUUUCAUAUGAUGAUUCAAUUAAGAAUUAGAAAGUUUGAAUGCCCAAUGACAACUCUAGAGUUCAAAAGUACAAGUAUAAUUAUUGGACAAAGGUGAAAUGACUAUAGAAGGGAAUGAAACUACGACCUAAAACCUCCAUAAACAUCAAUGUAGGACGAAAAGUCGCAGCUUUUGUCCUAUUAAUUAGGUUCAAAUGCAACAUAUUAGAAAUUACCGAGUACUUGUUUUGUUUUUCAUUUGUAAAGUUUUAGGACACAAAUAAAUUUAUAAGAACGUACCACAUGAAUUGUAUACUAAUUUAUUUAAUUCUGUUCUUAAAUUAGACUUCUAUUGGUAGACGAUUUGCCCCUAAAGUGAAAGAAGAAAAAAUUACUGCAUAACUUGAGCCACGACAGGGCUUAAUUUUGGAGUACCUGUGUUUAGAUUAUGCUAUGGAGGAGCUCAUAUCUCCUAAAAGCUUGUUCAUUUUACCAGAAGGCUAGACAACAGUCUGCAAUAGAGAUUAGAAAUAAGCAAAUCAGAAUUAACGUUUCUUACCCAUGGAUGGAAUCAAUGAAUGCAAUGCAACCAUAGCUUAUCACAAGUAACAAUUGUCAAAAAAAAAUUUCUUUCUGGUAGAUUCAACAAAAUCCUCCACCAGUCCGAUAAUAUUUCCAUCCAACUGCUAGGGGAAAGC